CCCCUGCUGGCUCAGAUGGUAAAGAAUCUGCCUGCAAUGCAGGAGACCCAGGUUCGAUCCCUGGGUUGGGAA
rnacentral:tRNA from 1 species